rnacentral:rRNA from 1 species
GGACUACUGGGGUAUCUAAUCCUGUUUGCUCCCCACGCUUUCGCACCUCAGCGUCAGUACCGGGCCAGUGAGCCGCCUUCGCCACUGGUGUUCUUGCGAAUAUCUACGAAUUUCACCUCUACACUCGCAGUUCCACUCACCUCUCCCGGACUCAAGACCGUCAGUAUCAAAGGCAGUUCUGGAGUUGAGCUCCAGGAUUUCACCUCUGACUUAACUGUCCGCCUACGUGCGCUUUACGCCCAGUGAUUCCGAGCAACGCUAGCCCCCUUCGUAUUACCGCGGCGGCUGGCAC